rnacentral:tRNA from 1 species
GGAGAGAUGACCGAGUGGUUGAAGGUGCCGAUCUGGAACGUCGGUUUCGUGCAAGCGGACGAGGGUUCGAAUCCCUCUCUCUCCG